rnacentral:rRNA from 1 species
AGAUUGAACGCUGGCGGCAGGCCUAACACAUGCAAGUCGAGCGGUAGAGAGGUGCUUGCACCUCUUGAGAGCGGCGGACGGGUGAGUAAUGCCUAGGAAUCUGCCUAGUGGUGGGGGAUAACGUUCGGAAACGGACGCUAAUACCGCAUACGUCCUACGGGAGAAAGCGGGGGACCUUCGGGCCUCGCGCCAUUAGAUGAGCCUAGGUCGGAUUAGCUAGUUGGUGAGGUAAUGGCUCACCAAGGCGACGAUCCGUAACGUCGU